rnacentral:tRNA from 1 species
ACUUACUUAUUAUAAAAAGUAAAUCUAAUUUCCAAUUAGAGAGUCCUUGAGGGAGUAAGUU